GACGAACGCUGGCGGCGUGCUUAACACAUGCAAGUCGAACGGAAAGGCCCUGCUUUUGUGGGGUGCUCGAGUGGCGAACGGGCGAGUAACACGUGAGUAACCUGCCCUUGACUUUGGGAUAACUUCAGGAAACUGGGGCUAAUACCGGAUAGGAGCUCCUGCUGCAUGGUGGGGGUUGGAAAGUUUCGGCGGUUGGGGAUGGACUCGCGGCUUAUCAGCUUGCUGGUGGGGUAGUGGCUUACCAAGGCUUUGACGGGUAGCCGGCCUGAGAGGGUGACCGGCCACAUUGGGACUGAGAUACGGCCCAGACUCCUACGGGAGGCAGCAGUGGGGAAUAUUGCACAAUGGGCGGAAGCCUGAUGCAGCAACGCCGCGUGCGGGAUGACGGCCUUCGGGUUGUAAACCGCUUUCGCCUGUGACGAAGCGUGAGUGACGGUAAUGGGUAAAGAAGCACCGGCUAACUACGUG
rnacentral:rRNA from 1 species